rnacentral:rRNA from 1 species
CCUACGGGAGGCAGCAGUGAGGAAUAUUGGUCAAUGGCCGGGAGGCUGAACCAGCCAAGUCGCGUGAGGGAAGACGGCCCUACGGGUUGUAAACCUCUUUUGUCAGGGAGCAAGGUGCAGGUCGGGACCUGCUGUGAGAGUACCUGAAGAAAAAGCAUCGGCUAACUCCGUGCCAGCAGCCGCGGUAAUACGGAGGAUGCGAGCGUUAUCCGGAUUUAUUGGGUUUAAAGGGUGCGCAGGCGGAGGCACAAGUCAGCGGUAAAAUCGCGGGGCUCAACCCCGCUCCGCCGUUGAAACUGGGUGCCUUGAGUGCGCGAAGGGUAGGCGGAAUGCGUGGUGUAGCGGUGAAAUGCAUAGAUAUCACGAAGAACUCCGAUCGCGAAGGCAGCCUACCGGCGCGCAACUGACGUUCAUGCACGAAAGCGUGGGUAUCGAACAGGAUUAGAUACCCCUGUAGUC